GAGAGAGAUAUAGGGAGAGAGAGAGAGAUGCGUCUGAGAGAGAGAGUGAGCUAGAGGGAGCUGCUGCGAACUCGACAACAGGGGAGCCCGCGUUGCCGUCGCCUCGGCUGCU